UACGUAGGCAGCGAGCGUUGUUCGGAGUUACUGGGCGUAAAGGGUGUGUAGGCGGUUGUUUAAGUUUGGUGUGAAAUCUCCCGGCUCAACUGGGAGGGUGCGCCGAAUACUGAAUGACUUGGAGUGCGGGAGAGGUGAGUGGAAUUCCUGGUGUAGCGGUGAAAUGCGUAGAUAUCUGGAGGAACACCGGUGGCGAAGGCGACAUCCUGGACCGGUAUUGACGCUGAGGCGCGAAAGCCAGGGGAGCAAACGGG
rnacentral:rRNA from 1 species